AGUCUCAGUCCUAGAUGUAAACGCUUUUAAGCACCUUCACAGCGCCCUAUCCAGCGUCAGUCCCCUUUUGUUUGGACAGCAGCACACACCAUGAAGCAUACCUACCUCAGAACGGGGCUUGAAGUCGUCAGUGGGCUCAAAUUCACACGACUUUGUUCUCUCUCAUACACCGCCAGUGACGAUGGUGCGCAGCCAGGAAAUAAAUGGGAAAUGGUGCAGAGGACCACCCGAUCCACACCUGUGAGCGCCUUUCAACGCUCGCCGGCACCGAUCCCAGUGGACGCGGUCGAAAUCUGUGCCGUGGUACGGAGAAGCAGCGAGAGAUUCAUUGUUGUUGUUGCACAGUAUCGUCCACCAGUGGAUUCAGUUUGCCUGGAGUUUCCAGCCGGUUUGGUGGACGACAACGAAAACGCUAGUCAAGCUGCCAUUCGUGAGAUGCACGAGGAAACCGGCUUUGUUGUGGAUGAAGCUGGAAUCGUGUCUAUUUCACCGCCACUCUCCACGGAGCCCGGCCUCACUGACUCAUGUUGCGUUUUGGUGCGUCUCGACGUUGACGGGGAGCGCGCAGAAAAUCAGAAACCAAAGCAGCACCUGGAUGAUGGGGAAGACAUUGAGGUUCUCAUGAUUCCUAUUUCUCAGCCCAAGAACGCGUUAAGUGCACUUUCGGAUGUGGUCGAACGAUACGCGGAAAAGGGCCAGCGCGCGAUUGUAGACGCAAAGCUAUACACAUUCAUGGAAGCUCUGGCGUGGAGCGUAUAACACACUUUUAUCACGUGCAGAUCC
rnacentral:misc_RNA from 1 species